GACGAGGCACUACGGUGCUGAAGCAACAAAUGCCCUGCUUCCAGGAAAAGCCUCUAAGCAUCAGGUAACAUCAAAUCGUACCCCAAACCGACACAGGUGGUCAGGUAGAGAAUACCAAGGCGCUUGAGAGAACUCGGGUGAAGGAACUAGGCAAAAUGGUGCCGUAACUUCGGGAGAAGGCACGCUGACACGUAGGUGAAGUGAUUUACUCACGGAGCUGAAGUCAGUCGAAGAUACCAGCUGGCUGCAACUGUUUAUUAAAAACACAGCACUGUGCAAACACGAAAGUGGACGUAUACGGUGUGACGCCUGCCCGGUGCCGGAAGGUUAAUUGAUGGGGUCAGCGCAAGCGAAGCUCCUGAUCGAAGCCCCGGUAAACGGCGGCCGUAACUAUAACGGUCCUAAGGUAGCGAAAUUCCUUGUCGGGUAAGUUCCGACCUGCACGAAUGGCGUAAUGAUGGCCAGGCUGUCUCCACCCGAGACUCAGUGAAAUUGAACUCGCUGUGAAGAUGCAGUGUACCCGCGGCAAGACGGAAAGACCCCGUGAACCUUUACUAUAGCUUGACACUGAACAUUGAGCCUUGAUGUGUAGGAUAGGUGGGAGGCUUUGAAGUGUGGACGCCAGUCUGCAUGGAGCCGACCUUGAAAUACCACCCUUUAAUGUUUGAUGUUCUAACGUGGACCCGUUACCCGGGUUGCGGACAGUGUCUGGUGGGUAGUUUGACUGGGGCGGUCUCCUCCUAAAGAGUAACGGAGGAGCACGAAGGUUGGCUAAUCCUGGUCGGACAUCAGGAGGUUAGUGCAAUGGCAUAAGCCAGCUUGACUGCGAGCGUGACGGCGCGAGCAGGUGCGAAAGCAGGUCAUAGUGAUCCGGUGGUUCUGAAUGGAAGGGCCAUCGCUCAACGGAUAAAAGGUACUCCGGGGAUAACAGGCUGAUACCGCCCAAGAGUUCAUAUCGACGGCGGUGUUUGGCACCUCGAUGUCGGCUCAUCACAUCCUGGGGCUGAAGUAGGUCCCAAGGGUAUGGCUGUUCGCCAUUUAAAGUGGUACGCGAGCUGGGUUUAGAACGUCGUGAGACAGUUCGGUCCCUAUCUGCCGUGGGCGCUGGAGAACUGAGGGGGGCUGCUCCUAGUACGAGAGGACCGGAGUGGACGCAUCACUGGUGUUCGGGUUGUCAUGCCAAUGGCACUGCCCGGUAGCUAAAUGCGGAAGAGAUAAGUGCUGAAAGCAUCUAAGCACGAAACUUGCCCCGAGAUGAGUUCUCCCUGAGACUUAGAGUCUCCUGAAGGAACGUUGAAGACGACGACGUUGAUAGGCCGGGUGUGUAAGCGCAGCGAUGCGUUGAGCUAACCGGUACUAAUGAACCGUGAGGCUUAACCUUACAACGCCGAAG
rnacentral:rRNA from 1 species